AUUCCAGCUCCAAUAGCGAAUACUAAUUCUGCUGCAGUUAAAAAGCUCGUAGUUGAACUUCUGGUAGGACAGAUCCGGCCUUUGGAUGAAUGUCCAUUGUAUGCUGUGUGUCUUGUCUGGCCAUCCUUUAUGUCUUUUAGGCGUAAUCUUUCACUGUAAAAAAAUUAGGGUGUUUCAAGCAAAAGUUAUUUGGAAUAUAUUAGUAUGGGAUGAUAAGAUAGGCUCUUGAGUGCUACUUUGUUGGUUUAUACACUUAGAGAAUGAUUAACAGGGACAGUUGGGGGUAUUCAUAUUUACAUGUCAGAGGUGAAAUUCUUGGAUUUUGAUCAGACGAACUACUGCGAAAGCAUUUAUCAAGGAUGUUUUCAUUG
rnacentral:rRNA from 1 species